ensembl:lncRNA
AACCAUGUGCUCCAUCAGAGUUGGCAUGUAUUAUUGUAGAUAAUGCAAAACUGAGGUGGAACAUUGUCUGAUAAUCCACUGCCAUAUGGGCACCCGAACAGCCAGUGAGUGGGAGGACAGUUACUCAGAUUCGGCUGGAUGGGUUCCCUGUCGCAAAGACUCGCAGGAGUAGCAGACACUCCCAGGCGGACCGUCUGCCUUUGCCACGACACACAAACAGGAAGCCCUCCAGAUGACAGAGAAAUCUGCCAUCGGGCUGAUUGCUGUGGCCGAGGCCCCGAGGAUGAAGGAAUGAAUGAGGGUGAAGAGUGGGAUGGAUGGAGUAAAGCCCGCAAAAAAAGAGAGAAAAUGAGACGAGUUGGCAUUCAGCUCAUCCUAGCAAAGGCUGAGUCAGGGGAGCCAUCGCUGCCUGCUGACAUUAGCCACUCUCCACUGGACAUGUCUCCCGUGGUCCCUCUUAAACUGCCCGGCUCCCUGGGGGAGCGAUGAAACAAGCAGGACUCUUCCCGUUUAAAAGGCUGUCCGUGGAGAUGGGGCCUCCAAGUGAUUGGGGAUGAGUAAAAAUGGGGGGGGGGGGAAUACAACAAAAAACAGGCGGCGGAGGUACUCGAUGGGAAGGUACAGCACGCACCACGCCACGAGGGCUGGAGCCUUCUGUAGUCAGGUGGGCCGGUGCCAGUGAUUGGAUUCCCAGGGAAAAUGCCAGGCACUGCGGUAUCUGCCAGCCACUCUGAAGCUGCGACAUUCCCCCUCCUUGAUGAAGCCAAAGCGGCCUGUGAUCCUCAAGCCCUGAGCGUUUCAAUCUCUCCUGUCUCACCAGACAGCGUUUGGCUUGCUCCUCCUCUCACCCCCUUUUUUUCCCCCCGUGUCUCUCAGAUCUUUUUUUUUUUUUUCAUUAAAUGCGGUCUAAAAUGUAGCUCAAAAAUGUUCUGAGGCGCACCCCACCGCCGCCUCCACUCAAAGCUUUUAAGACCAAAUGCUAAGAGCGAGAGCUUGCUUCUGGGAAAAGAAGGGAAUCCCGCUCAAUACUGUACAGGAUCCGUGAAACCAGAUGCGCCCAGUCUUAUGUGUGUAGAUCUGAGAAUGUGAUAUCAGUAUGUGUUGAGGCAAAUGCUACGCUAAUGGAUGUGUAUUAUAUCCUUCUGAUCUUACCCUUCUGUAGAUAACAGAUAUUAAACAAAAGUACACCCAGGGCCGCCUCUGGAUGGGAGGAGGCCCUAGAAAGGGGGGGGCGGGGGGGUGUCCCCCCGGUGAGAUUUUCACCGUCACCAUCCCCAGCUGGUGUUACUCGAGGCGAUUGCCUGAUGCAGGCACGAGUACACCCACUUGGAUUUUGCACCUCUGAAGUACUGAAUGUCACAGAAAUGUUUUUUGAAAAGCUAUUUUUAGACAACAUUUGAGUUAUUUUGUGCUGUCAGUGCUGCUUCUCUCUGCUGCAUAUGAUGCUGCACCUCCAGUUUUUCGGUCCCUUUAGACACAGAGAGACGCUGCCAACUGUCAGGCAACUGUUUCAUCUCUAGUGACUAAGUGGAAAGCCGGUGUCUUAUAGUUC